AAUGAACGCUGGCGGCAGGCCUAACACAUGCAAGUCGAACGGAUCCUUCGGGAUUAGUGGCGGACGGGUGAGUAACGCGUGGGAACGUGCCCUUUGGUUCGGAAUAGCCUCGGGAAGCUGGGAGUAAUACCGGAUAAGCCCUUCGGGGGAAAGAUUUAUCGCCAAAGGAUCGGCCCGCGUUGGAUUAGGUAGUUGGUGGGGUAAUGGCCUACCAAGCCGACGAUCCAUAGCUGGUUUGAGAGGAUGAUCAGCCACACUGGGACUGAGACACGGCCCAGUCUCCUACGGGAGGCAGCAGUGGGGAAUCUUAGACAAUGGGGGAAACCCUGAUCUAGCCAUGCCGCGUGAUCGAUGAAGGCCUUAGGGUUGUAAAGAUCUUUCAGUUGGGAAGAUAAUGACGGUACCAACAGAAGAAGCCCCGGCUAACUCCGUGCCAGCCGCCGCCGUAAUAC
rnacentral:rRNA from 1 species